CACUGGUAGAGCUCAACACACUCAAGAACCUUGCUGGGUCUGCUGUUGCUGGUGCCCUUGGUGGAUUCAAUGCUCAUGCUGCCAACAUUGUUUCUGCUAUCUUCAUAGCAACCGGCCAGGAUCCAGCGCAAAAUGUUGAGAGUUCUCACUGCAUUACAAUGAUGGAAGCCAUAAAUGAUGGGAAGGAUCUACAUAUCUCGGUCACUAUGCCAUCCAUAGAGGUAAUUGGGCAUUAAGUUUAACAAUACCCUUUUAUUUUUAAGUACUUAAUUUCAGUUAUUAUCAUCAGGUUGGUACUGUCGGAGGUGGAACUCAACUUGCUUCUCAGUCUGCGUGUCUGAAUUUACUUGGCGUGAAGGGUGCAAGCAAAGAAUCACCGGGAUCAAACUCAAGGCUCUUGGCUACAAUUGUUGCCGGUUCGGUUCUGGCAGGGGAGCUCUCUCUGAUGGCUGCCAUUGCAGCUGGUCAGCUCGUCAAGAGUCACAUGAAAUACAACAGGUCCAGCAAAGACAUAUGCAAAGCCGCAUCAUAGAUGAUGAGGUGCACCCACCUGGUAAAAUGAACUGGAAAAUAAAAUUUAAGAUGAGGAUAGGCAUUAAGUAGGCAAGUAAGCAAGCAAAAAGGGAAAAUGAAAGCUGUUGGCGCCAAUGUGAAAUUUCUUUUCUACCAUGGCCUAUAGCUGUAAUGUCAAGUGAGGGUGGGAAUCACAACGUGGCUAGCUGUAUCGGUCACCUGAAAGCAGAAAGGGCUCUGAAUCAGAAUAAUUUUGGCCCCGCAGGCCUUUGUUGCAGAGUCCUGUCCUACAUGUGAAAUUUUUAUCUGUCCUUUCUGUUUAUUGUUCUUGUUUAUGUUUCUUUGAGAGGCGUUUAUUGGUCUUGUUAGUAGCUGCUUCCCUUUGGCUCAUCUGUAUACAAGAUUGUGUCCUCCUUAAGAUUUGAUUUCGAUUUGGAUUAUACCAAGGCAUGUAAGUAAUUAUCUUUUAUCUCUAUCAAAAUCACAAACUGGUCUGUUGAUGUUCUGGUACUGUGGUUUGUGAGAGCAAUAUUAAACAUUUUAACUUCCUUCUUGUUCUCAUGCUUGAAUGG
rnacentral:lncRNA from 1 species